rnacentral:rRNA from 1 species
CCUACGGGUGGCAGCAGUGAGGAAUAUUGGUCAAUGGGCGCGAGCCUGAACCAGCCACGUAGCGUGAAGGAUGACUGCCCUACGGGUUGUAAACUUCUUUUAUAAAGGAAUAAAGUGAGGCACGUGUGCCUUUUUGUAUGUACUUUAUGAAUAAGGAUCGCCUAACUCCGUGCCAGCAGCCGCGGUAAUACGGAGGAUCCGAGAGUUAUCCGGAUUUAUUGGGGUUAAAGGGAGCGUAGAUGGGUUGUUAAGUCAGUUGUGAAAGUUUGCGGCUCAACCGUAAACUUGCAAUUGAUACGGGCAGUCAUGAGAACAGUUGAGAUCGGCGGAAUUAGUGGUGUAGCAGAGAAAUGCUUAGAUAUCACGAAGAAAUACGAAUGCGAAGGCAGCUUACUAAACUGCCACUGACAUUGAUGCUCGAAAGUGUGGGUAUCAAACAGGAUUAGAUACCCUAGUAGGC